rnacentral:rRNA from 1 species
UUCAACGAUGAGGCAUAUAUGUCAACUAUGGGUGUUGGCUCCAACAAUUCGCAUUGGUCUCAAACAAAUGACAUGCAUUUCGAUGACCAUGAGUUCGAGGUGGACGGGGAUGGUGAGGGCAUUGUCGACGCACCGAAAGGAAGAGGAAGCAACUACACCAAUGAAGAAGACAUCUUGCUAUCCAGUACUUGGUUGCAAGUGUCAAGGGAUCCAUCCGUUGGAGGUGAUCAAAGUAGAGAUGCUUAUUGGAACUGGAUGAAGGAGCACUUUGAUCUACACAACAAGAGAGGAAUUGACCGCUCGGACCGAUCUCUUCGCUCCCGGUGGUCGACAAUCAACCGAGAUUGUCAAAAGUGGGCGGCCGCACAAAAGGCGGUUGACAAGUUGAACCCAAGUGGCAAUAAUGAUGAAGAUAGGGUGAGUGCGACUUCAUCCAUGUUCAUCAUGCUUGUUCUUGGUGUUUGUAGUGCUAACUUGUUUUGUUUUUAUAAUAUUGCACAAAACUUGUUCAAAGGAGAGGAUAAGAAGAGCAAGAAAGGGAAGAUCAAGAAAGGGAGACCAUUUACCUUGCCUCAUUGCUAUGAAGCAUUGAAGGAUGAUGAGAAAUGGAAGAAGCGUGAUGAUAUGGAUGAUUUGGAUAUGAGCAACAAACGCAAGCGAACAAUUGAUUUGGAUGAUGAUGAUGAGGAGGCAUCAAGUGAUGACGGCAAGAGAAGCCACACACCAAACUCGGUUUCAUACUCGAAGCCAAAACGACCGGAUGGGUGCAAGAAAGACGCAAAAGAAAAGAAGAAGAGGAAAGGAGAUGAUGAGCUCAAAAUGCUAUGGAAGCUAUUGUGA